rnacentral:rRNA from 1 species
GUGAGUAAUGCUUGGGAACUUGCCUUUGCGAGGGGGAUAACAGUUGGAAACGACUGCUAAUACCGCAUAAUGUCUACGGACCAAACGGGGCUUUUAGCUCCGGCGCAAAGAGAGGCCCAAGUGAGAUUAGCUAGUUGGUGAGGUAAAGGCUCACCAAGGCGACGAUCUCUAGCUGUUCUGAGAGGAAGAUCAGCCACACUGGGACUGAGACACGGCCCAGACUCCUACGGGAGGCAGCAGUGGGGAAUAUUGCACAAUGGGGGAAACCCUGAUGCAGCCAUGCCGCGUGUGUGAAGAAGGCCUUCGGGUUGUAAAGCACUUUCAGUUGUGAGGAAAGGUUGGUAGUUAAUACCUGCCAGCUAUGACGUUAACAACAGAAGAAGCACCGGCUAACUCCGUGCCAGCAGCCGCGGUAAUACGGAGGGUGCGAGCGUUAAUCGGAAUUACUGGGCGUAAAGCGCACGCAGGCGGUUUGUUAAGCUAGAUGUGAAAGCCCCGGGCUCAACCUGGGAUGGUCAUUUAGAACUGGCAGACUAGAGUCUUGGAGAGG